UACGUAGGGUGCAAGCGUUAAUCGGAAUUACUGGGCGUAAAGGGCGCGUAGGCGGCUUACCAAGUCAGGCGUGAAAUUCCCGGGCUCAACCUGGGGGCUGCGCUUGAUACUGGUGAGCUUGAAUGCGGGGAGAGGAUAGUGGAAUUCCCAGUGUAGAGGUGAAAUUCGUAGAUAUUGGGAAGAACACCGGUGGCGAAGGCGGCUAUCUGGCCCGUAAUUGACGCUGAGGCGCGAAAAGCGUGGGGGAGCAAACAGG
rnacentral:rRNA from 1 species